AGGACGACGCUGGCGGCGUGCCUAAUACAUGCAAGUCGAACGGUCUUUCUAUGGAAGCUUGCUUCCACUGAGAAGAUAGUGGCGAACGGGUGAGUAACACGUGGGUAACCUGCCCAUAAGAGGGGGAUAACAUCCGGAAACGGGUGCUAAUACCGCAUAGUUUUCUUGAUCGCAUGAUCGGGAAAGGAAAGACGGCCUUUGUGCUGUCGCUUAUGGAUGGACCCGCGGCGUAUUAGUUAGUUGGUGAGGUAACGGCUCACCAAGACGAUGAUACGUAGCCGACCUGAGAGGGUGAUCGGCCACAUUGGGACUGAGACACGGCCCAAACUCCUACGGGAGGCAGCAGUAGGGAAUCUUCCGCAAUGGACGAAAGUCUGACGGAGCAACGCCGCGUGAGUGAAGAAAAGGGUUUUCGGAUCGUAAAACUCUGUUGUCAGAGAAGAACAAGUUGGAGAGUAACUGCUCCAGCCUUGACGGUAUCUGACCAGAAAGCCACGGCUAACUACGUGCCAGCAGCCGC
rnacentral:rRNA from 1 species